GUGGAAACAAAACUGAUUUAAGAAAACUUAAGAAAAAUAAUGAAAGCUUUGUAAGUACUAAUGAUGGGAAAAGACUUGCUAAACAAAAUAAUGCAUUAUUUAUGGAAAUCAGUGUCCAGUGUGGAAUUAACAUCAUAGAAUCUAUAAUCCAAAUUACUAAAAUAUUGUGCCUGAAAGAAGACGUUGAAGUAUAUGAAGCGGGGUUAAAUCUGAUAAA